GGGGCGGUCGUGCACAGGAUUCUAGGGGAUAACUUUGGCUGCAAAAAUUUCUCUGUAAUUCCUUCAUCCGAAAUUCGAGCUCGAAAGUAGGGGGACUGGUGUUGGGUAUAAAAUACCCCCCAGUCGAAGUUUGUGAUGGGGGUGACCCUCCGGGGAUCCAGCUGACGAACCUCGACUGGACUCCUAUAGGAGCCGGACUUCGUCCC
rnacentral:lncRNA from 1 species